GUUCGUUUAUCCUAAGGAGCUCGAGAUCAAAAUAUAGAGGGAUUCCACACCAAACUCGUAUCUGACUCAAAUCGUCCAGAUUUAGCAUAGAACUAUAGCUGCUGGGCCCAACCUCGCUUUGAUCUGCCAUUCCUAAAUCAAAGGGCUUGAAAACUAUCUAAAGAAAGAAAGGAGGAAUGAAAAGAUCGAUGGGUGAGAAAGAAAACCCACCUACGAGCG
rnacentral:lncRNA from 1 species